rnacentral:rRNA from 1 species
UACGUAGGGUGCGAGCGUUAAUCGGAAUUACUGGGCGUAAAGCGUGCGUAGGCGGUUCGUUAAGUUCGUCGUGAAAGCCCCGGGCUCAACCUGGGAAUGGCGAUGGAAACUGGCGGGCUUGAGUAUGGCAGAGGGGGUGGAAUUCCGCGUGUAGCAGUGAAAUGCGUAGAGAUGCGGAGGAACACCGAUGGCGAAGGCAGCCCCCUGGGCCAAUACUGACGCUCAGGCACGAAAGCGUGGGGAGCAAACAGG